rnacentral:rRNA from 1 species
AUUGAACGCUGGCGGCAUGCCUUACACAUGCAAGUCGAACGGCAGCGCGGGAGCAAUCCUGGCGGCGAGUGGCGAACGGGUGAGUAAUAUAUCGGAACGUGCCCAGUAGUGGGGGAUAGCCCGGCGAAAGCCGGAUUAAUACCGCAUGAGACCUGAGGGUGAAAGCGGGGGAUCGCAAGACCUCGCGCUAUUGGAGCGGCCGAUAUCAGAUUAGCUAGUUGGUGGGGUAAAGGCCUACCAAGGCAACGAUCUGUAGUUGGUCUGAGAGGACGACCAGCCACACUGGGACUGAGACACGGCCCAGACUCCUACGGGAGGCAGCAGUGGGGAAUAUUGGACAAUGGGGGCAACCCUGAUCCAGCCAUGCCGCGUGAGUGAAGAAGGCCCUCGGGUUGUAAAGCUCUUUUGUCCGGAAAGAAAGCAAUCGGUUAAUACCCGGUUGUUCUGACGGUACCGGAAGAAUAAGCACCGGCUAACUUCGUGCCAGCAGCCGCGGUAA